GGAAAUCCGUAGAACAGAAGUAAGUAGCUGGCAACACGGUGUCAAGAGAGCGGGCGGUUGGUGUGAUGCCCGUACAUACGCUGACAGUGAAUGGAUCUGUGAGGAGCAGGGGGAAAGGCUUUAAGCCGAGUAUACUUCGCCGUAAUUCCUGCGUUAAAGGAAAGGAUAUAAGCGCUUUGCGCCGUAUCUGGAAACGAGCGGAUUUUUAUUAAUCCGGAAUUUGGGUGGUACCACGAGCUUUUCGUCCCUUAG
rnacentral:ncRNA from 1 species